GACGUAGGGGGCCAGCGUUGUUCGGAAUUACUGGGUGUAAAGGGUUCGUAGGCGGUGCGGCAAGUUGGGAGUGAAAUCUCUGGGCUUAACCCAGAGGCUGCUUCCAAAACUGCUGUGCUUGAGUGUGGGAGAGGCGCGUGGAAUUGCAGGUGUAGCGGUGAAAUGCGUAGAUAUCUGCAGGAACACCAGUGGCGAAAGCGGCGCGCUGGACCACUACUGACGCUGAGGAACGAAAGCGAGGGGAGCAAACAGG
rnacentral:rRNA from 1 species